CCUUACCUAAGCUUGACAUCCUUCUGACCUCUCCCUAAUCGGAGAUUUCCUUUCGGGGACAGAAGUGACAGGUGGUGCAUGGUUGUCGUCAGCUCGUGUCGUGAGAUGUUGGGUUAAGUCCCGCAACGAGCGCAACCCUUGCCUUUAGUUGCCAGCAUUAAGUUGGGCACUCUAGAGGGACUGCCAGGAAUAACCUGGAGGAAGGUGGGGAUGACGUCAAAUCAUCAUCCCCUUAUGCUUAGGGCACACACGUGCUACAAUGGGUGGUACAGAGGGCAGCCAAGUCGUGAGGCGGAGCUAAUCCCAAAAAGCCAUUCUCAGUUCGGAUUGUAGUCUGAAACUCG
rnacentral:rRNA from 1 species